UACGUAGGGUGCAAGCGUUGUCCGGAAUUAUUGGGCGUAAAGAGCUCGUAGGCGGUUUGUUGCGUCGGCUGUGAAAUCCCGAGGCUCAACCUCGGGUCUGCAGUCGAUACGAGCAAACUAGAGUGUUGCAGGGGAGACUGGAAUUCCUGGUGUAGCGGUGAAAUGCGCAGAUAUCAGGAGGAACACCGGUGGCGAAGGCGGUUCUCUGGGCCUGUACUGACGCUGGAGGAGCGAAAGCGUGGGGAGCAAACAGG
rnacentral:rRNA from 1 species